UUAUGUUCCAUUAAUAGAUUAAGAUGAAAUAAGGAAACGGCAGGGUGUAAUAUCUAUGUAACGAAGAGAGUUUGAAUUGUCUGUAUUCAUAUCAGAGCUCUUCUUAGAAAAUGAGUUAAUUACCAGACAUGAUUUUGGCAGGAGAGGAGUAUAAUUUGGAACAAAAUAUUCAGCUUUUUUUUUGGUAAAUUUCUAAUUGUUAUCUUCCCCUAGAUGAUCGUAUAAAUUAUCAUAAUUAUGAAUACCAGGUAGCUAGUGAUGUCAUGAUUAUUAACUAUAAUACCUUUCUAGCCUGACAAGAGAAUCGUGGUUGGUUUUUCCCUACUUAUUUAAGUGAGAAUAAAUAAUGUAGAUAUAAAUAUAUUUCAUUGUGGAAACUGAUGAGCAUUUUCUACCCGUUUGCAUAACUAUAUAACCUCGCAAAUUAAUUUUUGUCCGCUGUAAGGUAGUGAUUCACUGAAAACCAGCUAUUGAAUUAUGGUUUUCUCACUGGUUAUAUUUUAAACCUGAAACCUCUCUGAACCCUGCGGUCUGAACAGUUUGAAUUCAUCAAUUCGGCAAUUCCUGUUAAACCUUUUUGCAAAUUCUGGCCUGCCUUGUGUCAGUAAGGACUGCUAGAGAAAUGAUCUAAAUAUUUUCUUCAUCCCCAAUUACCCAAUUAUUUUUGCAUACUAUGAAACUGUUGAUCUCAGAGUGAGUCUUUUAUGAUGCCUUUCACCCAUUUGUUUAUUUUCCCGUGUUAACACUGGGGGUGUAGAUAAUUAAACCAUUCCUAAAAAUAGACCCAGGCAAAGAUCACUUGUCUUUCUUGCCACCAGUGUAUCCUUAUUCUGCAAGAGUCACAUUGUUUCAUGUUUUUUAAUUAAUGAGCAGCCAGUCUAGUUGAUAGACAUAGGAUAAAGGGAAUUUCAUAGUUAACUGAACGUCAGAUGCCCCACUAAAUUUGUAUACUUUGGGGGUAUGAUCAUUUAUAUGUGUUUAGGAAAUUUAUAUGGGUUUUAAGCUAACAUUGAAUCAGUCCUCAGAACAAACCCCACAAGAUAAGUUCUGUUAUUAUCCCCAUUUUAGAGAUGAGAAAAUUGAGUAUCAGCAAGAUACAAUAACUUGCCCAAGAGCACACAGCUGAUAAGAGUACAAACUCUAGGUUAAAAAGCAAGGAUUAAAAAAUGCUACCUACAUGUGUAGGCAUACACAUGUGCUAUAUCUAGAGGGUUAUUUUAGAGAUCUUUCGGCAAAGGCUCAGACAGAUUUCAAAAUAAUUGCAAUGUCUCCAUAUAUGAUGUCAACACAAGUAGAAUUAUCUGUUUUAAUUAAUAAUUUGCUCAGAGGGAGGGGAAGUUUGCUAAGAGAACCCUGUGUCAUUCCAAGGAAUUAAAUAUCCCUUCUCUAAGGAUUCAGGUAUAAUGAUUAGGAUGUAUCUUAAAAUAUUUGGUGAAAUCUAGUUAAAAAAAAUUUUUUUUCAAUAAUUUUUUUGCCCAGGUAUAAAAAAAGCUGUUGGCUUUUGUUUUUAGAACGGGUUUUUACUCAAACUGAAGAGAGCAAUUAUGCUUUAGUGGUCAGGUGAAAGGCUGUUGAAGACAUUGGCAAUCCCAUGAAGUCUGUUUUUAAAAAGUUGGUUUUGAUAUUCCUUUGAACAUAAAUUUAAGGGAAAUUUAAUGCAAAGGUAACUUUUAUGAAUUAUUUAUAUAUUCCUAAUUGAAAAAAUCUAAGACGGCAUUCUCAACAUUUUAACUGGGUUAAGAUUGGCUCAGAAUUAAAAAUACUUUUCUUUUCUAUUUUGCUACUUAUAAAGUGACAGAAUGAAUUUAUGUGACCUCAUAGUUUGUUUUCCAUUCUCAGUUUACUGACUUUUGAUAAAGGUUUGCUUUGGGAAAAAUAAAAAUUUCAGAAAAUGUAUCAACUAUAUGUAUAUGCACAUUAUUAAUAUUUUUAUGGAGCUAAUGGGAUGUGUUUAACAUGUGAAAUUUUUUUAAUCAGAUGGUUUCUUAGAGAUUAAGCGGGUGUAUGAAAUAAUAGUAGACUAAGAUUGAUACUAAAAGAUACUGUUAGAAACUAACUCUUCCCUUAGAAUUGUUGUCUGUUAUGCUGAGAAUGGAAAAUGGAUGAGUCAAUAUACCUGGCUGAAAUUUGGUAGGAUUAGAAACUAAGUUGUUGCUUUCUGUUCACCAUCCCCACCAUUUUUAGGAGAGUGUGUAUAUUUCUGUGUGUGAGAGAGUGAAGAGAGAGAAAGAGAGAGGUUGGGAGAUGGGGAGCUGAGAGCAAGCAUUGGGUUGAGUUGUAAGUCACAAUAAAAAUAAGUGAUUUGAAAAGAAUCUUUAUGACAAGAAAUUCCUAAUAGGGUUUUGAAAAUAUAAGAAGUUAGUAAACUGAGUACCGUGGUGCUUACUUAAAUGAAUGCAGUUCUGUGUGUGUGUGUUUUAGAGAAUUAUUCUUUUGAAUAAUUUUUUGGCAAAAAAUACUGUUUUGAGUUGAUAUGAAUUACUUGGUUAAAUCUGAUAUGAAAAGAUUUGAAGAAACAUUUAUUUGACUGGGAGCCCAGACACCUAGGUUGUGGUCUUGGCCCUAUCAGUGUCAUAGCAUUUGGGGACCUCAGUUUCUUCAUAAAAUUGGGGGUGGUGGUGACCUAGGUGAUUCCUAAGUUCCUUAUGAUUCUAAAGCAAGCUACUGUGAAAUUUAAACUGCUGCAAUCACAGUCCAUACUUUUUUCUAAACACUGCUAUCUUACUUAAAUUUAUUGCCUUAAACACUAUUAAUUUUAGGAAAGACAUUUUAUAGAUUAGUAAUUCAAUUUCCGUUGCUUUUAGAAAGCAUUCCUUAGGUGUUAUAGAGAGAUCUUAAAAUUUACCACAGAAAUUACAGGAUAGAAUUUACAUGGCUAUAUUAUAAUAUUGGCAUUCAAUCAAAGGCUAACAUGGAAUUAUUAUAUUAAAAGGAAAUAAUUUACCUGAAAUGUAACUAAUACUGGGCAGUGUUUAUUUUAAUUUGAAAUGAAUCAGAAUGGUUUUUACAUUUGUUUAAUUUAGGUUUGGGUACAUACAGUGAAUUAAAAUUCAUGAUGACAUUUUAAAUUAAUUUUGGGGGCCAAUCUUAACCUUCUCUUUUACCCAUGUUUAUGGAGCAGGAGCAAAGAUUCCAAAUAUGUGAAUAAUCCUCUAAAUAACUGAUAUGACAGGCAUUAUAUUUUGGGAUUUUCUUUGUAUUAAAAUUUGUUUCUAAGUUAUUUUUGCUUAGCUUAAAGUUUUCAUUAUGUGGAUGCAGAUAACAUGCCUGAAAUCCAGUUUUCAGAUACAACUAAACUAAUAUGUAUUUAAUAAUAGCUAACAUGCCUUUGAUAGUCUAAGUGUUUUACAUGUAUUAACUCAUUUACUUCAUUCAACAAUCCUAUGAAGUAGAAAUUAUUAUUGUUAUUAUUACUAUUCACACAUGAGAUUUGGCUUUUAACCAUUAUACUACAGUGUCUUUUCACAUAGACAUGUUACAGAUGGGGGCAGCGGUAAAUGCCUCCCGGAAACGUGUAAGAUGAGAGAAAAAUUUUUACAGUGAAUCAUUGAUACCUGAUGAUUAAAAGCUGAUUAUAAAGUUUUGAAAAGUGGAAAAUAAUAGAAUAUAUUUAUUUGUCAACUUCAAAAUAUUAAACAAAUAAUAUUCAAAUCAAUAUUUUUUUGUUUGAUUUUAGUACGUACUAUAUACUAGGUACUGAGCUACGUGCUUUCACAUAUGUUAUCUCACUUCAUGUAUAGGAUUUCUCAACCCUAUGAGGCUUAGUUUUAUUGUCUUAAUUUCAAAAUGAAGAAACAAGGGCCAUGUUUAUGUGACUAAAGGCAUGAUUUGACCCUUACAUUAAGGGGAGGAAAAUCCUACCCAUCCUGCCAAACACAUCCUGGAAUCCUGAUGUCCAAACCAAAUAAUAUAUUGGGGCACCUGCCAGUAAUUAAUUUGAAUAUAGCAGUUCUUUGGAGGGGUGCCUAGAUCUUCUGUCCUUACAGGAAUGUAAAGGAGAAUGUAUGCUAUAUAUCCUAGUACUCUCUUAUAUUCAGCUCAGUUAUGCCCCCAUCUCCAUUAGCUAAGAACCAAGAAGAAGACCAAAAAGAAAAAAAAAAAAAGAAAAGAAAAAGGAAAGGGGGGAGACAAAAUCUGUUACAAAGAUGAUCCUAAAACUUGAUUGAUAGGGAGACAUUUUAGGAUUUGGAGCCCAUUUGCUCUUACUUGGUCACCAUGGAUUUGUUAAGUUGUCUUAACCAGGCAAAUAAUUUAUGUUACUUUAAUAACUCUCCUUGUGUUUUCAGUUUAUUGAUCCUCAAAAUUAUAUAUGGCAUCUUAUAUCUGAAAACAGAAAGUUACUGCAUCGCUUCGGGUCUGAAAGUCAUGGUGAAUUAUCAAUAUUAAAAUUACCUAAAGUGCAACGUUGUUACAUUUUUUGUUUUCUCAUAUAGUCCCAAGGGAUAUAGGAAACAUUUUCUUUGACUUUGUAUUAAUCUAUAUUAGAAGAUGGGAAAGUAAUUUUUUUUAACUGUAAGGUAUGGGUUGGUUGGUUCUGGUUCCAGCAGAAUUGAAAUAUUGGAAAAGUUUGGGAAAAGCUUACCAGAUACCAUUUUACACCUUUCUGUAGAAAGCCUUUUAACUAGGUUUAAUUGCUUUUCUGAUGGAAUUGAAACUUGGGCAGGGUAGUUUUUUGAUUAUUUUUUGAUGUGUCUUCAGGGAAGCCAUGGAAUAUGAUCAACACACUGUUCCAACAUCUUUCAGGAAAAACCUGGUUAUUGCAAGCCUAGUGAAUGUGCUUGUUGCUAGUUGCAACUAGAAAGAUGUUAUUUAGUUCAUGAGUUUAUGCUUUUGAGAAUAAUUUUUGUUGGUGUUCACGAGAAAGAAAUGGAAAAGUAGUCUUAAAGUUAACAUAUGCCUAUUUUGAAUUUUACAGUCUAAAUCUAUUUUCCUUACGACUUUUUUGCUCUUUCUAUUAAGGAAAAUAAGCUUGAGGUUCCAUUAUCACAUUUUUUCAGCACUAUAUUUUACCUCAGUUUUUGGUCCCAUCACAGAUGAGAUAAUAUAUUUCUAUUUAAGGCAGGGAGCUUGUAACAUGAGCAUUCAUUUUAAUUUUUCCUGACAAAAGUCAUUUUGUAUUUAAUUGCUCAAACAAAAUUGUUCUUGAGGAAAUUAAAGUAUAUUUUUACCAUGAUAAAUUUAUAGCAGUAUAGAAUUUUUUACUUCAAAGUUAGCGUAGAUUCUCAUCCUAUUGUAUAAUAUUGGAACAGAAGGAGUUACACUUUAAGGUUUUCAGAAAAUUCUCAAUAGAAAGAUAAAAGAUCUAUAUAGAUCCUAUUUUUAAUCAAUUUCUGAAGCUAACACUUGGAUAAUUACUGAGAAAGGCUAUUGUGUGAGGCCAAAAAUAUAGUAGACUGAAGCACAGGCCCUGGAUCCAAACAGACUUACGUUUGAUCUGAACUCUAGUUAGCUGUGUGACCUUGAGCAAGUCACUUAAAUUUGAGAACACAGACCUGGCAGUGAAGGGUUAUUCUAAGGUACUUUAAAUAUGUGGCCGUAUUAGGUAGAUUACAUUUUUUUGUUUAAAAUAAAAUUAAAAUCUCUAAUAUUGAGUAAAAUCAGGAAAUUAAAAUAACUACAAAAAGCUUGGGUAUCUAUGAAAGAUUUUGAGCAGUCCUUAGUUUUGCUUGUCUUAUCAUAUAUGCUCCACUUCUCAGAGUACUACUUUUAAAUAAGCUAGAUGCAACCCAGGACAGAUAAAACAUUUAGCAGAAUUAUCAGGAAGCCCGAAGAGAAGUUUUAAUAAUUGUUUAUAUACCUAAACAUUUAUUAGCAUUGGCAGCCUGCAUCUUUCAGUAGUUUGAAAGAUUUUGCCUAUUUUUAAGAAAUUUAGAACAUUUGAUUGUUUUUGUAUACAUUAAAGGAGACUGUACUUUUUUUUAAACAUCUUUAUUGGAGUAUAAUUGCUUUACAAUGGUGUGUUAGUUUCUGCUUUAUAACAAAGUGAAUCAGCUAUACAUAUACAUAUAUCCCCAUAUCUCCUCUCUCUUGCGUCUCCCUCCCACCCUCCCUAUCCCACCCCUCUAGGUGGUCACAGAGCACCAAGCUGAUCUCCCUGUGCUACGCGGCUGCUUCCCUCUAGCUAUCUGUUUUACAUUUGGCAGUAUAUAUAAGUAUAUAUAAGUCUCACUUCGUCCCAGCUUACCCUUCCCCCUCCCUGUGUCCUCAAGUCCAUUCUCUACGUCUGCGUCUUUAUUCCUGUCCUGCCCCCAGGUUCUUCAGAACCAUUUUUUGUUUUUUUUUUUUUUUAGGUUCCAUAUAUGUGUUAGCAUACGGUAUUUGUUUUUCUCUUUCUGACUUACUUCACUCUGUAAGACAGACUCUAGGUCCAUCCACCUCACUACAAAUAACUCAAUUUCAUUUCUUUUUAUGGCUGAGUAAUAUUCCAUUGUAUAUAUGUGCCACAUCUUCUUUAUCCCUUCAUCUGUCAAUGGACACUUAGAAGGAGACCAUACUUUAAUGAAGAAUUUAUGAUUUUGUUCAUUAAAAGACAGGAAAAGGUGCCAUAGAUUUGAAUUGAAUAUAUUUUAGCUUUUAUCCUGGAAUUAAGUUCUGUUUUUUAUAUUUUAAUUAAUUUAUUUAGCAUAUAUUUAUUGAGUACCUGCUAUGUUAUGGACUAGGCAUAGGUAGAUAUCUCAUAAAAAUUGUUUGAUUUGAUUCAUAAUGUAUUUCUGACCUGUGCUAAUCUUUGAAUGAUACUGAACAUGCAUUUUUUAUCAUUGUAAACAAAUUAGCAACUAGCUCAAUAGUUAUAUUUCAUUUUAAUCCAUGAGCUGUUUAAACUUCAAGGCAAACUAACAGGUUCAACUUUAGGUAUAACAGAAACAGAGUGUAAAUGACAGUUCCAAAUAUUUUAUUAAUGGUCACAUUUAUAAAUAUACACCUGUACACAACAUGUGCUUUUUUAAGUUCUGUGACAAAAUGGUACUACAAAAGGCAAACUUUAGCCUGUGGGUCACAGAAUUUAGGUCUCAUUACAUGUCAAGGAAAAAAACUCCAUCAGUCACUUACAGGUUCUCCCUCAUGUUUGCAAACUGAAUUUUUAAAGUUUAAAGUCUUAAGCUGAAGAAGUACUUUUCAUAUUGUAGAGUAUUUAGAUUGGGCAAUUUCUAUUUGCUGCAUAUUUACCAGAUAUAUCCCAGUCAUUGCUUGCUUUUAGCUCUAAAAUAAGUUAUAGUUAAUUCCUCAGUAUUAUACACUUUAAAGCCAUAUUUAUAUUUAAAUGUUAUGCAGCAUACUUUUAAUAAUAGUUUUCCCAGGUGUUUUUGAGGAAUGCAUCUGGUGCUAGUCAGUAAAAUAACUGCUGUAGCCUUACUGUCUCUAAGAACCUUAAAAAGAACCAAACAAUGUAAGAACAGUUGCUACUCAGAAAAACCUCCUAAUUAUCAUAUGGAAGUCAGAUCUGAGUUGAUCUGAGUUUCAACGAUGGCUCUGCCACUUACUAGCUGUGUGACCUAAGGCAAGCUCCUCAACUUUCCUGAUCCUUCAUUUUCACAUUUCUUUUGUCCAGUGUUUUUGAAGUAAAAUGAAAUAUGCCUAAUAUUUGGCUUCCAAAAGAUUCUGUUGGUAUAAGAAAGUCAUCAAAUAGAAAUAUUAAUUCAAAAUUUUGCAAAUAGCACAGAUUCUUAAAAGGUGAAAACCAUUGUGUAACUGGUAUAUGGUAAUUUGAGUUUAACUCUAAAGAAGAAUUUUAUAAUCUGAACUAUAAUUUUGUUUAAUAAACUCAAUACUUAAUAGUGGGAGUCAGCCCAGAUGAUGCUCCCAUUUUCUUGAACAUUGCUGGAAAAUUUAGUGACCAACUGGUUUUUUUGUUUGUUUGUUUGUUUCCUCUUUGGAUAAAGUUUUUCCCCCCAAGUCUUUUUCAUUUCUUAUUAUGGAAAAGUUUAAACAUAUUCAAUAAUAGAGUAGUGUAUAGCAAAUUCCCAUGUACAUACAUGUCACCUGGCUUCCAACAAUGAUCAGCUCCUGGACAGUCCUCUUUCAUCCAUCUUCCUAACUGUCUCUUCCUGCUUUCAUGUUAUUUUGAAGCAUUUCCCAGGUAUUGUAUCAUUUCAUCUGUAAAUGGUUUAGUAUGUGUCUCUAAAAGAUAGUCUUUUUUUCCCCCCUUAAAAACAUACAAAAAUAUCUUCUAGUUGUUUUUUAAAGAAAGAUAGUGAGAAAUUGAAGCAAGGCCCACAUUUCUGUUGUACCUGCUCAGCCUGUUUCACUGCUCAACCUGAUGCUAAUCUCUAAAGAAACCACUAUUGGCCGCAUCUCCCUUCUAGGUCAAGAAGGGUGCUGGUGGUCACAUGGCUGUCAAAAAAAAAAAAAAAAGAGAUCCAACAAGACACCAAAACAUCAGCUGAUGACCACAAAUUUGGGAGGAGAUUGUUCAGUUUUCCUCUCUUCAUUUCAGCCGCCUUCUGGGUUCAGGCUUCUGUGGACUUGGGGGAAGGAUCUCCAAAAGGAGAGAGAACAGGACAGGACUGAGAGCGUUUUGGUUGUGUUUUUGUUUGUUAAUGUGUUUUUGUUUUUCCAAAGGGAAAUUUAAAGGUUUGGGGUCUUUUGCAGGCCUUUGGACUGCAUCACAUUUUUUUCAUCUGUUGCUGUUUUUCAACCCACAAAUGUUUGAUGCUUUCAAUGGACUGUGUGCUAGGAGUACAUGACCAAGGCAGACAUGCUCGUCCUCGUGAACUGUACAGUCUGGUGACCUCUUGCUCUGUGCCUGCGUGUUGAGAAGUGCCUUCUGCUCCGGAGACUGGAGAGCUAAGGAUGUGGCGGGGGGAGCUGUGAGGGCCCAGAGGCCGACACUGGGCACAGGCUGCCUUUUGACGUUGCUGUCAAGGCUCAUGAAAGAGAAGAGACAUUAUGGAUGUUAUGGGUUAUAGGAUACAAGCCUCAGUUUAAGAAUAAAGAUUGUGUAUUUGGGUGACCGUUCUCUCUGCUGACUCCGGACCCUGAUCAGGCCCAGCAGAUGUAUAGCAGAGGACUGCUGACUGCCAGUAAGCAGCCAAAGAUAGAGGAAUGGCCAGAGGGUCUAAAUGACUUCAUUCCUUAGGGCCUAGUUUUAGUAGCUCUUCCCACUUUCCUGAACUAAUGACCUCUUGCCCCAAAUAGCUUAUUAGGUAGGAAAUAUCUUUUUUUUCCCCUUUUUUGUUUCUCUAUGAAAGUGAGCUAUGGGAAAUAGCAGAGAACAGCUGAAUUAUUCAGAUACAAACAAUACCUAAUUUAAUAUGUUAGUUUCGGGCUCUUUUGCCAUUUCACCAGAAAGAGAAGGGGCGGAGGGAAUGUUUAUUGAGAGGAUCUCCUAGCUGGCGGGUGUGGUGCGGACCUUGUCUCAUUUCUCCGCACCCCAGUUUUAUAAGGGAGGUAGGAUCCUUAUUUCUAUGAUGAAAUCAAGGUUCAGAGACAAUGCAGUGUCAAGAUCAGUUGUCUUCUAAGUGGUGAUUUACACGCAGGUCUUGGACUAGAUUUUAAUUAUUUCCCUCUGCCAGGCAAGGUGAAAAUGAGCAAAUAGUUAACAAGAGGAAGGGGUCUAUUGAUUUAGGAACUGACUAAUCAAGUCUAGAAUGCCAAGUUGUGUUUUUAAUACAGUCAAGUGGUGACAAGAAAUAUUUACCACUUUAAGGAUUUCUAAUGGUGAACCUGAAUGUGGUUUAUUUAGUGAAGGUGGGAUAAAAGAAAAUUUUCUCAAAGGCUUUCUGGAGAGAUCAGAUUCAUCAGUUCAUGUGGAAGAAAAUGGAGCUAUUGAUCCAGUCAGGGUAAUACCCCAAAGACAUUGAUUCAUUUUGUUAUAGUUUAUUAUUCUAUUAGGAAGCACUUGGUAGCCCAAGAUCUGGAAGACUCUGCCUCAUUAUAAAGCGGUCCUAAUGAGAAAGCACUGACUGAAGAGGGAUCCUGCUAAGAAAUAUGAGAUGCUAUUAAAUGUGGUUUCUCCUACUUCAGGUAAUUACCUCUUUCACUUUAACCUCUGACACUUGUUCUCUGCAUUCAGACCCUGUAUACAGUGAAGGAUUUCAUACCUUGCAGGUGUUGAUAGAUUGGAAUUUCUAGGUCAUGACAAAGCUCAUUUAAAUGGACCACUUUUCUGAGCUUCUGCUCUGAAGUCAGACUCCACCACUUACUUUGUGACUUUGAGGGCAAGUAGUUAACUUCUCAGAACUCAUUUGCCUAAAAUGGGGGUGAUAAUUGUAUCCACUUUACAUGAUGGUUGUGAGGAACUAAUGUACAUAAAUCAUACAUCAUUCAUCUGAGACACAACACGGAGCCAGGAGGGACAUGUUAGCCACUUUAAUGAUGAUGGUAACGAUGACGAGGGACUUACUGGAUGCUGCACAGUUGCUACAGUCUGUGGCUGUGGAGGUGAGUGGAGCUCGCAGUCCAGUGGCAGAGGGGGUGGGUAGCUGUAACAGAACUUGUCAAUAUCAUGUGGGCUGUCAGCGUUCUAGGGGGAUAUGGGGAAAAAGGGACUUGUGCCUGCACAGGGAUGGAAGGGUCAUCUGAUAGUGGAAUCUUGAAAGCUGACUAUAUUGCCAACCUUUGGUAUCCGUGGCCUUAAAUACUUAAUCCAAGAAAAAUAUUUACAUUUUGGCAAAUUUUGGAUUAAAACUCCCAGAGUUACCUUUGAUUAAUUAUGGGCUGUGCUGGCAUCUUAGACUUCCUAUUUAUUUUGGCAGCUAUACACUGGCAUAGACUUUGCCUUUCAAACCAAAAUAUUUUCCUUUCCCUUCUUCACCAGGGAAAGUUUAAGCCGGAAAGAGAAACUUCCAUAAGCUGAUACAGAUACCUAGCAGUCUGAGAAGUGAUGCUCACAGUAAUGUAUGUCUUUAUAGGAAGGCAAUGAGUAAAGGGAGUAGCUGAAUUUUGGCUUUGGUUCUUAAUAAUGUGGGCACGUUCAAUUAAGUACAUUUUGUGUUUUAGACCAGGUCUAGUAAUGCUAAAACAUACUAACUCAAGUAUAAGAAGACAGGAACAAUUAGUGGAGUGGUCAAGGUGGUUGUUCUGUUGAAACUGAACUGAAUUGUAAUCUUUUUUCCAAUUUAUGCAUCUUAGAGCUUGGAAGAGAGGGCUUUGAUUUGGGUUUUGAGAGCAAAGCCCUUUCUCUUCAUAAGGAAACCUUAGAAUGGUUGAUGUAGAAUAUUUAAGCUGGACUGCAUCACAGCUGUCAACAGGAUGUAAGCUACAACUCACACCCCCAAGUAUCUAAUGAAGUUAACCUGUGGAAUGGAAUUGCUUAACUCAGUGGUUCUCAAAGUGUGGUCCCUGUCUUCACUUAGAAACUUGUUAGAAAUGUGAAUUCUUGGACCCUACCCAGACCUACUGAAUGAGAAACUUGGCGGGUUGACCCGGUAGUCUGUUUUGACAGGACCUCCAGAUGAUUCUGAUAUACUCUUAAGUAUGAGAAACACUGGCUUACAUUAUCCAUCUGGAUUUUUUUUUUAAAAGCUACAAAAAUGAUAAUUUUGGUUUGUGGCAUAAUUGCAAUCUGGUUGUUCAUCCUGAUUGUAAUAGACCCAACAGGUUCACGUCCUUCUUGUGGCUACUCUGGGAUGUUAUAAAAAGACGUGUCAUCAGUUCUUUGCUUACGUAGGUCUUCCUAUUUUGCUGUGGCAGUCAGGAUUAUUCAGGUGUAUAUUAAAAGGACAGGUCCUGCUGUUUGAAAUACUAAUUUGUUUUGUCAGAAGGUUAUUUUUAUCAACUUUGAUUUUCAUAGUGGCUUGUGUGGUUUUUCCUUUAGAAAUUGUCCUGUGAAGUAGAGAUGACAGAAACUGAAACCAACAAGUUACAACUCAAUAUAUUAAAUACAAUUAAUUUUUACAAAAUAAAAAGAGGUCUACACAUUGUAAUCAAGUUUGCUUUGCUGAGCCUUGAAAAUAAUUGAUGGUCUUUUAUUUUCAUUCAUGAAAUGUUCUAGAGUCAGAAGGCCUGGGUUCAAAUUCUGCCUUCUCCAUUACCUGAUGUUGGUAAAGUUACUUAAUCAUGCUAAACUUCACUUUUUUCAUCUGUGAAAUGGAAUAAUAACUUAACACUUAACUGUAUAGGAUUUUUGUGAGGAAUAAAUGAGAAUAUGCAUGUAAAGCAUUAGAGCUUGUUAAACGUUAGCUGCUGGUACUAUUAUUAUUGCUAUUACUACCACUUCUGCUCCUGUGGUUGGCCGUAGUUAACCUAGAGAUACAUUUGUGUUAGGUCUUUAAUUUGUGGACCACAUCUAUCUGUCAUCUCAACAGGAAGAAGGAAGAUAAAGCUUCUUUAUCUUUUCUUAUGUUUUUAGUAUCUCCGAUAUUAUCCUAUAUUACUCUUAUACAUAAUUUUUGUUCUUUCUUUCAUUUAUUGAGUAAUAUUUUAGUGCCUACUGUUUGCCAGGUACUAGCCAGCACAUUCCUGCCCCUAGGACCCUUAUGGCAGACAGAGUAUCUCAUUUAUUCUAAUAUAUAUCUUAACUAAUGUGGUCUUUUGACUGCCAUGACCAUUACUUUACCCAAGGCAGCCCAUUUGCUUUGGAGUGAAACUUGGGCUUGCAUCCUGACUAAGCUGCUGAACUAGGCAGUAACCUGUCUGUGCAGUAAACUGUGGAUUUUCUCUAGUCUUAGUUUUUGUCAUUAAAAUGAGAAUAAUAGGGCUUCCCCGGUGGCGCAGUGGUUGAGAGUCCACCUGCCAAUGCAGGGGACAUGGGUUCGUGCCCCGGUCUGGGAAGAUCCCACGUGCCGUGGAGCGGCUGGGCCCUUGAGGCAUGGCCGCUGAGCCUGUGCAUCCGGAGCCUGUGCUCUGCAAUGGGAGAGGCCACGACAGUGAGAGGCCCGCGUACCGCAAAAAAAAAAAAAAAAAAAAAAAAAAGAGAAUAAUACAA